AUUGAACGCUGGCGGCAGGCCUAACACAUGCCAGUCGAACGGUAACAGGAAGAAGCUUGCUUCUUUGCUGACGAGUGGCGGACGGGUGAGUAAUGUCUGGGAAACUGCCUGAUGGAGGGGGAUAACUACUGGAAACGGUAGCUAAUACCGCAUAACGUCGCAAGACCAAAAAGGGGGACCUUCGGGCCUCUUGCCAUCGGAUGUGCCCAGAUGGGAUUAGCUAGUAGGUGGGGUAACGGCUCACCUAGGCGACGAUCCCUAGCUGGUCUGAGAGGAUGACCAGCCGCACUGGAACUGAGACACGGUCCAGACUCCUACGGGAGGCAGCAGUGGGGAAUAUUGCACAAUGGGCGCAAGCCUGAUGCAGCCAUGCCGCGUGUAUGAAGAAGGCCUUCGGGUUGUAAAGUACUUUCAGCGGGGAGGAAGGGAGUAAAGUUAAUACCUUUGCUCAUUGACGUUACCCGCAGAAGAAGCACCGGCUAACUCCGUG
rnacentral:rRNA from 1 species